AGUGAACACUGGCGGUAGACCUAACACAUGCAAGUCGAACGGCAGCACAGUAAGAGCUUGCUCUUACGGGUGGCGAGUGGCGGACGGGUGAGGAAUACAUCGGAAUCUACUUUUUCGUGGGGGAUAACGUAGGGAAACUUACGCUAAUACCGCAUACGACCUACGGGUGAAAGCAGGGGAUCUUCGGACCUUGCGCGAUUGAAUGAGCCGAUGUCGGAUUAGCUAGUUGGCGGGGUAAAGGCCCACCAAGGCGACGAUCCGUAGCUGGUCUGAGAGGAUGAUCAGCCACACUGGAACUGAGACACGGUCCAGACUCCUACGGGAGGCAGCAGUGGGGAAUAUUGGACAAUGGGCGCAAGCCUGAUCCAGCCAUACCGCGUGGGUGAAGAAGGCCUUCGGGUUGUAAAGCCCUUUUGUUGGGAAAGAAAAGCAGCAGGUUAAUACCCCGCUGUUCUGACGGUACCCAAAGAAUAAGCACCGGCUAACUUCGU
rnacentral:rRNA from 1 species